GUUGAAGGCUGAUCUAGUUCUUUGCUUCAGAGCUCUCGAUCACUUCCAGAGGAUGAAGAAGGCCUAUAAGGAGGAGACAAAAUGAUAGAAGGGGAUAAAGAGAAGACACUCUUACUCUCCCUUCCCACAAAACCUUAGAUAAAAUCCUAGGGCACCCACACCUGAUCCUCAUGCCCAAAGAGAAAGAAUAUAUACUCUGUACAUGCAC
rnacentral:lncRNA from 1 species